CUACUACUCCCUUCGUCUGAAAAUACUUGUCAUUGAAAUGGAUGUAUCUAGAUGUAUUUUAGUUCUAGACACAUCCAUUUUGAUGACAAGUAAUUCCGGACGGAGGGAGUAUUAU
rnacentral:pre_miRNA from 1 species